AUCUUGAUUCUAUGUUUUUUAUGAUAUGCCACCGUCUUAAUAAUUGUGGUCCUUAUAAAAUUGUGAUAACGAAUAAGACUUAAUAUAUAUUUGUUUUUAUUUUUUUUAUAGAGCAGUUCCUUAGCUUAUGUCCAUAUGGCCCAUGAUAUUGAUACUCUGUUUGAUCUUGACACCCUCACCUUUAUUUUAUUUUAUUUUGACAAAAAUGUCUUUAACGGAAACCAUCAUAUAAAAUUAAACAACGAAAUUUACGGAAACUAAUUUUACAAAAAGCUAAGGAAGUAGAGGGUGAGAAGAAGAAGAAAAUGUUUUUUAGACAUGAGCCUGUCCAUAUGGGUUACAUUUUCAGCCCACAUCCCACAAUAGCACGCAGCCGGUAUACCAAUUACCCCGAGUGCAUCCCCCAAUUUUAGAAUCAAACAAACCUCAGUCCAAGAACCUUGUGCCUUCAGAAACCCUGACGUUGAUUCAAAUUGUUUGUUCGCACUUCAAUCUUCAAGUGAUAAGUACACUCUUCUCUCCCCAUUCACUCGCAUUGGCUUUCAUUGUUGUCAAAUUCAGAUUAGGUUUCCCUUUCUCUCCCUCUUUUGUUAUCUUAUCGAUUUUGGUUCAUGCCCUGUAGUUUUCUUUCUUUAUUUCUUUGUUUCUUUCUUCAUGUAAUCCUGCAGCAAGAAUUUUGUUUCUGUACUUUAUUUUCCACCAAUUAAAACAUACAAUUUUCUCUGGUGCAUCUACUCUGAACACCGAACACCUUACUAAGCACUACAGGUAGCCUGAGCCGUAUUUUUUUUAAUUCAAGUGAAAGAGGAAGCAAAAAAAUGUGAGCGCUCCUGCACUAUACGGCUUUUUGGCGUCGCCCUAUCUGGAGGCAGAUUUUCUAAAAAAAGCGGUUGAUUACUCGGAUUGGUUCUCACGUCCCUAUGCCCAAAAGGAUGGAUGAGUUCGGUUCAAGUCUUCAUCGAUCGGGUGGAUCUAUAUGCUGAGGGGGUGAGACGAGGUGUAGCGCAGUCUGGUCAGCGCAUCUGUUUUGGGUACAGAGGGCCAUAGGUUCGAAUCCUGUCACCUUGAUGUGAAGGGCUGAAGUGCACAGCCUAAAGAGCACCCAUCCCCCCGUAAACUUUCGCUCUUAGAAAGAGAAAGCCAAAUGCGCUAUACAUGUUUAGCAAACUUCUUCUUCACACAUGCUGGUUUUUUCUUUCUCUUUUAAACUUGAGUCUGUCUAUUAUUGUAUAAGCACUUAGAUAUCAUAUAAUUUAUUUUUAUAAUUGAAGAAUUCAGUUUAAACUAUUUUCACAUAAGAUAUGUAUAAGCACUUAGAUAUCAUAUAAUUUAUUUUUAUAAUUGAAAUUGAAGAAAUCAGUUUAAACUAUUUUCACAUAAGAUAUAAGUUGUUUUCAUCAUUUAUCCUAGAAAGCUUAUUGAAAUAAGGAGAAAACAACUUACGGACAUACCAUAAGCUAUUUUCAUAAGUUUUUGCAACUUACAGAAGGGCUGAUAAGCCCAAGUAAACUUUAAAUAAGCUCUUCUAAACAUACCUUAAUUUGAUCAUUGCUUAGGAAUGUGAAUGCGUUGUUCUAGCUUGAAUAUAUUUAAAAUGCUGAGAAAUGUGAUUAUUUUAGUAGGGAUCCAAGUUCUCAUAUCUAUAGAUUCUAUGUCUUUGCAGUUCCCAUUUUUGAAUUUAGGUGAUAAAGAAUUUAUUCAUUUGAGUUGCACAGUUUUACCAGUACCAACAGUCCAACACCAUCAGGCCCUACUAACCUGGAAGUACGAGCCAAGGACUUAACGCGGGAGUUACAAUGAAUGGGGUAAGCAGCCAGCCAGUUUCCCAAGUGAAUUAGGGUUUUGAAUUGAAUUGAUUUGAUUUCGACAUCAAAGGGAACAGGGAUGAGGUAUAGAAGAACCCAUAGAAUAGCAGUGGAAGGGUGUUUGUGUUUGUGUCGCUCAUGGCAUUCAUCAUCGAAAUGGCGGAGGAGGAAUACAGUGAACAGCGAGACAUUGUCGAGAUGUCCAUCUGAUUUGAUUGCCUUCUCCCUUUUCCUUUGGUCAGCCCAACGUCGCCGCCACGACUCAUUCGCCUUCGAUCGCAUAGUGACUGUGCUCCGUCGGCUCACUCACCGCUACGACACCGUUCCAGCCAUUCUCUCUCACUUGGAGACCAUCGGCUGUGCCUCUCUCACAAACCCUGUAUCUCAGUUGGUGCUGUUGAGGAUUUACUCGCGUGCAGGUAUGUAUGCGAUGCUCUUGGAGGCUUAUCACCACUUGCAAGCCUCUUACGCUUUUGUCCCCGAUACCUUUGCUCGUAAUUUGGUCAUGGACGCUCUCUUUAGGGUCGGCCACUCCCAUCUCGCUCUCACCCUCACUCUCUCUCUCUUCAACCACACUCAUCCCCCUAAUUUCUUCACCUUCCACAUUUUGCUCCUCCAUCUUUCCAAACUAAACAACAACAAUCUCAAUCUCAACCUCCCUCACAUCGCUCGUAUGCUCAGACUUAUGCUCUGGGCCGGUUAUUCUCCCUCUCCUCUCACUUUUCAGAUGCUUCUCAAUUCUCUUUGCAAGAUUAAUGCAUUCCCACAGGCUUAUCAGCUCCUCGCUCUCAUGACGGUUCUCGGGAUCAAUUUCUCUGUCAAUAUUUGGACCAUUCUCAUCCAUAACUAUUGUAAAUUCGGCCGCCUUCGUCUUGCUAACAACCUCUUCCACAAUAUGCUUCAAACUGGUUGUUCUCCUAAUGUUGUGACAUAUACCAUCUUAUUUAAGGCUUUUAUGCAAUCCAACAUGCCAAGCCCUGCUUUUCGAUUGUUUAAUGUCAUGUUAUCUUCUGGCCAAUCUCCGGAUUUAAUUCUUUGUAAUGUAUUAAUUGAUUGUCUUUCAAAGGCUGGAAGGUGCCAGGAUGCAAUUCAAGUUUUUCUCAGUUUGUCAGAGCGAAACUUAAAGCCUGAUUCUUAUACCUUUGCUUCAUUGUUAUCUACAAUCUGUCGUUCCAAAAUGUUUUAUCUCUUACCUAAACUAGUUCUAGUCUCUAGACAUGUAGAUGCUGAUUUAGUGUUCUGUAAUGCUCUUUUAAGCUCUCUUACUAAGGCCGACCUUCCUUCUCUUGCUGUUGGAUUCUAUGACCAUAUGAUUGAUGAAGGUUUUGUGCCAGAUAAAUAUACUUUUGCUGGAUUACUAAGUGCACUCUGUUGUGCGGGAAGAGUUGAUAAAGCAGUUAAUGUGUACCAUGGUGUUGUAAUGAGUUAUCAUGACAUUGAUGCUCACAUCCAUACUGUAAUAAUAGUUGGUCUUCUAAAGACCGGAAAGUUUCACAAGGCUGUCAGUGUUUUAAGAUUUGCAGUAAUGAAUAAAUAUCCACUGGACACUGUAGCAUACACAGUUGGCAUCUGUGCACUUCUUAGAGGUAGAAGAACUCAAGAGGCUUGCACAUUGUAUGACCAGAUGAAGAACGAUGGUCUGAAACCUAGUGUUCAUACCUAUAAUAUGAUGCUGUUCACUUUUUGUAAAGAAAGGGAUCUCCAGAUGAUAAAACAGAUACUGCAAGAGAUGAUUGAUUCAAGGAUAUAUUUGAGUGGCAGAAAUUUCUCCAACUUGUGUAAAUAUAUGUGUAGAUCAGAUACUCAUCUUUCUCUUUUAAAAUUGUUGGCUGAGAUAAGAGAUUUGAGGUUAUUAUCUGCCAAGGCAUUGCAUUUCUUAAACUUUGACAGGCAUGCUGAUGGUGUACAAGCAAAACAUAAACAUCAGGCAGAAGAUAAUACAGAGUGGAACCUAAUUUUGGAUACAUCCAGUUCUGAAGAUCUGUCAGAUGUAGCUGCUUCAGUUGAUGUUGCAAGCGAUACCUUUGGUAUUACAAUCUUCAUUGGCGUCGGUCUCUUUCAGUGGAGACACCUUUGCCUUCUGGUAUGUUAGACUUGAGGGUUUAGUGGAUGGUGAUGCUGAUCAAUGCAGGCAGCAAUCUGAAGAAUGGUAGUAAAGGGUUGGUGAAGGCUGGUUUGUAAACAGAAUUCACACCUUGGUAUGGACGUGCCAUUGGAAGACCAAAGGAGGAGAGUACAAAGGCAGUUGGUGAUCCAAUAUGUUAAACAUCGUGCUGUUCUUGGUGCCAAAUAUCAUCGCAUAGAUUGGACAUCCAUUUCUGAUCUUCCAGCUUCUCCAAUCGCUUGUAUGAGAAGAAUGAAUUCAUUGAAUAGUAACAUGAGAUUUAGGAAAGCCGUGAAUAAACUCUGUAACAUGCUCAGUGAAUGAUAUGCAAAGCAACUGGAAAAGUCCCAGUACUCGUCAUUAAACAAUGAUUGCAAACAGUUUGUGCGAUCCCAGUCCUGUGAAGGUAUCCUCAAUAAUUCUAGUCCUGAUGCUGAAAUUCAAAUUACAAGUCUAAACAAAGAAGCUUGGGAUGACUUUGAGAACAAAAAUAUCAAGAUGGCCCUUGAUGAGAUUCUUCGCUGUAAGAUGAUGGCUAAGCUGGGUGCCUCCUCCCAAAAAGGUCAAUUGCAAUAUGAUGGGUGGUCAGAUGCAAAUGCGAAUGCUAAUGGACUUGAAUCUCAAGAAAAUGAAGAAAUUACAUCAGCUAUUCCUUGUGAUAAUAUUCAGAGUCAUGGGAAGCCCCAUACAUUUUCCGCCCAAAGAUCACGUCGGCGGCGGCUUGAUAAAAAUUUUACUAGGUUUCUGAAUAAUAUGGUUAAUGUUUAUGGACAAGUAAAUGAAUCAUUGGCUAUUUCAAAUGUUGUAGAGCUAUUUAAACUUGUUUUUUUAAGCACCUCAACCGAUCCUCAGGCACCCAAAUUACCAGAUGACAUUCUUCGGCGAUACUCACAGCAUGAUCUAUUUGCUGCUUUUAACUAUCUUUAAGAGAAAAAAGUUAUGGUUGGGGGCACUGGCAAUGAACGUUUUGAACUAUCACAACAUUUCUUGCAGAGUGUUUCCAAGUCACCAUUUCCAUUUAAUACUGGAAAGCAAGCUGUUAAAUUUUCUGCAUGGCUGGAGGAAAGAGGCAAAGACCUCACAGAAGUGGGCGCUAAUCUUGCUGAAGAUCUACAAUGUGGGGACAUUUUUCAUUUGCUUGCUUUAGUCUCAUCGGGUGAACUUUCAAUUUCUCCAUUCCUACCAGAUAAUGGUGUUGGAGAGGCUGAGGACUUGAGAAGUGCAAAGCGUAAAUAUGAUACUACCGAGUCUUCAUAUAGUGAUAAAGCCAAAAAGUCAAAAUCCUUCUUUGGAGUAGAAGGUGAAAUUAUUUCUCGUCGGGAAAAAGGUUUUCCUGGUAUCAUCAUUUCUGCACACUAAACAACAAUUUCAAGAGCUGAUAUUUUAAAUUUGUUGAAGGAUAAUGAUAACUGUGGCCAACCUUUUGACGAAGAUUUCCAAUUAAACAUUGACCAAAGCUGUAAUUAUUCACUUCCUGACCAUAUCUUGGAAAUCACUAAAUCUUCUGACCCUGUACCUCUGGAAGAAAAUCAUAGUGAAUCACCCUGGGAAGCUAUGGCAGGCUAGGCACGACAUUUGUUGUCAGAAUAUUCCAAUAAAAAACAUGCAUAUGCAAUUUGUGCUGAGGUCUUCAGAGUUGUUUAUGCUGCCAUCCAAAAGGCUGGUGACCAAGGAUUAAGCAUGGGAGAAAUUUCCCAGGUUAUUAACUUGCCAGGAGCAGAGAUAGAUGUCUUGAUUGUUGAUGCUCUUCAAGCAUUUGGGCAAGCCUUAAAGGUUAAUGCUUAUGAUACUGUCCGUGUUGUUGAUGUCUUAUACCGUCACAAGUACUUUUUGACACCUAUGUCUGAUUUUCAUCUUCGUGUUGUACAACCUUCCUCAUCAAAAACCAUCGAGAAAAGUGAUCAUACAUGUGAGCUUUAUGAAUCGGAGGAAAGGGAUACUACUUCUGUUGAUACUUCGAGGUAAAGAAACGCCGCUAUUGAUAGCGUGCAGACAUUGACAAUUCUCAAUCUUCCACAUGGGGAUGUGGAUCCUGAAAAUCAAGCUUGUGAUAAGAAUGAAGGCUGUAAGCAAAACAGACUUGGCUUAUCCAGAGUCAAUCAUAAGAAAGAAACUCUCGAAUUUUCUUCUGGUAAAUCAUGUGUGCCAAUAUUGCCAUGGGUCAAUGGAGAUGGGAUCAUCAACAACAUUGUUUACAGGGUACUCAGACGUCGUGUUCUUGGAAUAGUGAUGCAAAACCCUGGGAUAUUGGAGGAUGGUAUUCUACAUCAUAUGCACGUGUUGAAUCCACAGAACUGUAGAACUCUCUUGGAAUUGAUGGUUCUGGAUAAACACCUAAUUGUGAAGAAGAUGCAUCAAAAUAUGUUAGAUGGGGGACCCUCCUUACUUCCGGAACUUAUCGGAAGCAAAUCCAGUCAACCGAAGUUGAUAUGCCGAGAGCAUUUCUUCGCCAAUCCCAUGAGUACUUCCUUGUUGUAGGGAAUCUGUGGUAUUGACAUUAGACAUUAGUACUUGUUAUAUAAAAAACAUAUUUAUAGGAAAUUUUGGAUACUGGUUUAAGUUAUAUUUGGAAGAAUUGUAACUUAGGCAAUCCUAGUAAAUAUGUUUCAGGCUAGGAACUUAGGAUUUUGGAUAUUUGACAAGUUUGGUUGCUACAAUCCUACUUGAGUAUAGCAGGUUGGUAAACACAUCAUUCAGAUUUUUUCUUA